rnacentral:rRNA from 1 species
ACGGGUUAAUAACGCGUGAGAAUCUGCCCUCUAGUGAGGAAUACCUUCGAGAAAUCGAAGAUAAUACCGCAUACGUCCUUAUAGAAAUAUAAGGAGAAAGGUGGCCUCUUUGCUAUCGCUAGGGGAUGAGCUUGCGUACUAUCAGCUAGUUGGUAGGGUAAUGGCCUACCAAGGCAAUGACGGUUAGCCGGCCUGAGAGGGUGAUCGGCAACACUGGAACUUAGACACGGUCCAGACUCCUACGGGAGGCAGCAGUGGGGAAUAUUGCACAAUGGGCGAAAGCCUGAUGCAGCGACGCCGCGUGAAGGAUGAAGGCCUACGGGUUGUAAACUUCUGUUAAGUGGGAAGAAAUGCUCGUUUCUAAUAAAAACGAGAGAUGACUGUACCAUUAGAGAAAGCACCGGCUAAACUCGUGCCAGCAGCCGCGGUAAUACGAGUGGUGCAAGCGUUAUUCGGAAUCAUUGGGCGUAAAGGGUGUGUAGGUGACAAAUUAAGUCUGUUGUUAAAUUUCCCGGCCUAACCGGGACAAUGCGGUGGAAACUGAUUUGAUAGAGGUUGGAAGAGAGAAGUGGAAUUCUUGGAGUAGC